rnacentral:rRNA from 1 species
UACGUAGGGUGCGAGCGUUAAUCGGAAUUACUGGGCGUAAAGCGUGCGCAGGCGGUGAUGUAAGACAGGUGUGAAAUCCCCGGGCUUAACCUGGGAACUGCGCUUGUAACUGGCAAGCUGGAGUGUGGCAGAGGGGGGUGGAAUUCCACGUGUAGCAGUGAAAUGCGUAGAGAUGUGGAGGAACACCGAUGGCGAAGGCAGCCCCCUGGGCUAACACUGACGCUCAUGCACGAAAGCGUGGGGAGCAAACAGG